GCCAUGAACUAAUUUUGUUAAAGAUAUUUGAGUAAGCAGCUCAGUUGGAAAAAUAAUGUGUGAGCGACAGAGAAUUGCAGGGAUACUGAGGAAGUGUUCGAAGAAUUUGUUAUUUGGUCAAGGAUUGCAAACUCAUGGGUGUGUAGUGAAAAUGGGAUUUGAGCUUGAUUUGAUGUUAAACAAUGAUCUUAUAGAUAUGUAUGGAAAAUGUGGUAGAAUGGACCUUGCUUGUGCUGUGUUUGAUGGAAUGCUUGAAAGAAACGUGGUUUCUUGGACAUCUCUAAUGUGUGGCUACUUACAAAGUGGUAACGCCAUCAAGUCAUUAUUGCUUUUCCGCAAAAUGGGAUCUUCUGAAAUUAAGCCAAAUGAGUUCACACUUUCGACUAAUCUUAAAGCAUCUGGGAUUUUGGGCAUUAUUAAGAAUGGAAUGCAGAUUCAUGGUGUUUGUGCUAAAACUGGGUUUGAAUGGGUGCCAGCGGUGGCCAAUUCUAUUAUUGACAUGUAUUCAAAAUGCGGAAGAAUCAGUGAGGCGGCACGAUUGUUUAACAUUAUGCCAGUUAGGGAUCUUAUCAGUUGGAAUGCGAUGAUAGCUGGAUACGCACUUGAAGGAAUUGGUGACAGAGCUCUACUUUUGUUUCGGAAAAUGCAAGAACAGGGGGAAGUCCCCGAUGAAUUCACGUAUACCAGCACGUUAAAGGCUUGCAGUGGUCUUGGAGCCAUGAGGGAAGGGAGCCAAAUGCAUGCUUCAUUGAUCACAAGAGGAUUCCCAUGCUCAAUUCAAACAACUAUUGCAGGUGCUCUCGUUGAUAUGUAUGCCAAGUGUAGGAACUUGUUCAAAGCUCACAGAGUAUUUGAUCAAAUUGAACUGAAGAAUGUGAUAUCUUGGAGUGCACUAAUCCUUGGUUAUGCUCAACAAGGCAAUUUACCAGAGGCAAUGGACUUGUUUAGGCAGCUCAGGGAAAACCAAUAUCAUGUAGAUGGAUUUAUUCUCUCGGGCCUGAUGGGUGUUUUUGCUGAUUUUGCCCUUGUAGAGCAAGGCAAGCAAAUGCAUGCUUACAACAUCAAAGUCCCAUCUGGUUUAGACAUAUUAGUGGCCAAUUCAAUGGUGGACAUGUAUCUCAAAUGUGGGCUAACAGAAGAUGCAGAAAGACUUUUCAGUGAAAUGCUGGUGAGAAACGUGAUUUCUUGGACAGUUAUGAUCACUGGCUAUGGAAAGCAUGGUCUGGGAAAAGAAGCAAUUCGUCUUUUCAACAAAAUGCAGUUGGAUAAUAUUGAGCCUGAUGAUGUGACUUAUUUGGCUGUGCUCUCAGCCUGCAGCCAUUCUGGACUCAUUGAUGAAUGUCAAGAAUACUUCUCAAGAUUGUGUAGUGACCGGCGGAUUAAACCAAGAGUAGAGCACUAUGCUUGUAUGGUUGAUCUCCUUGGCCGAGCUGGACGCUUAAAAGAAGCUAAGAAUCUUAUUGAGAGCAUGCCACUAAAACCAAAUGUAGGUAUAUGGCAGACACUUAUUAGUGCUUGUAGAGUGCAUGGAGACCUGGAUAUGGGGAGGGAAGUAGGAGACAUACUUCUGAGAAUGGAUGGCAGCAAUCCAGUCAAUUAUGUGAUGGUCUCAAAUAUUUUUGCUGAUGCAGGCUAUUGGAAAGAGUGUGAGAAAAUAAGGGAAACAGUGAGGAUAAAGGGGUUAAAGAAAGAGGCAGCACUCAGUUGGUAGAGAUUGACAAGGAGGUUCACUUUUUCUACAAUGGAGAGGACACACACCCACUUACAGAGAAAAUACAUGAAGUCUUGAAGGAAAUGGAGAAGAAGAUUAAAGAAGAGGUGGGUUGUGUUCAUGGGGUGUGGUUUGCACCGCAUGAUGUGGAAGAAGAGUCAAAGGAGGAGAGCUUGAGAGUUCAUGGUGAGAAGUUGGCAUUGGUUUGUGGUGGGUUGGGAAAUGAAGUAAGGAGGGUGAUUAGGAUUUUCAAGAACUUGAGAGUUUGUGGGGAUUGUCAUACAUUCAUUUAAAGUUUGACAAAGUUUUGAAGGUGGUAUUCAUUGAGAGAGAUGCAAAUAGUUUUCACAAGUUUGAGGAUGGUUUGUGCUCCCUCAUGACACAGUUUACUCACCUUGAAUUGUAUUUUAUCGUAGUCUGUUCUCUUGUUCUUACCAUGACUUCUCCAAACCCUGCAAAAUUGAGAGUUUUGACUUUUGUGCAUUGAGUAUGAUCUAUUUGUUAAUAAAGAUGGUCAUUUUAUUAGAGAAUCUAGGUAGUGAGCCAAAUUAGUUAUGGUUAAUAUUUUUCUGCUUAUGUUUAUACAUUAACAGUGGUGCUGAGAUAGUCAUUUGCUA